rnacentral:lncRNA from 1 species
CAUCAGUUGACCCUAUGAGUCGACCCCUGCUAUUUUUAGGCCAAAAUUACAGAACCAUUAUUUUCUGUUAUUUUUCACAGAGGUCGACCCCAUGAGUCGACCCAUGAGCAUGAGUCGACCCAUGAGUCGACCCCUGUGAUGGGAAAGUUCCACAACGGCUAGUUUUUAACCCAUUUUAAGUGCAUUUAAUGCUCAUUUAAUGUGGUCUAACGGCUCUAUUUCAGCCC